rnacentral:rRNA from 1 species
UACAGAGGUCUCAAGCGUUGUUCGGAUUCAUUGGGCGUAAAGGGUGCGUAGGUGGCAUGGUAAGUCGGAUGUGAAAUCCCGGGGCUCAACCCCGGAACUGCAUUCGAUACUGCUGCGCUAGAGUACUGGAGAGGAGAUUGGAAUUUACGGUGUAGCGGUGAAAUGCGUAGAUAUCGGGAGGAACACCUGUGGCGAAAGCGGCGCACUGGACCACAUCUGACGCUGAGGCGCGAAAGCAUGGGAGCGAACAGG